UUUCCGUAGGUGAACCUGCGGAAGGAUCAUUAUUGUGUAACCGAGGUGCGAGGGCUGUCGCUGACCCGAAAGGUCGUGCACGCCCGAGUGCCCUCACACACAUCCAUCUCACCCCUAUGUGCACCACCGCGUGGGUCCCCCUUUGGCUUGUUCGGAGGGGGGCUUACGCUUUCACACAAACUUUGUAUGCAGUGUAGAAUGUAUUUUUUGUUUUUGCGAUCACGCAAUCAAUACAACUUUCAACAACGGAUCUCUUGGCUCUC
rnacentral:misc_RNA from 1 species